rnacentral:rRNA from 1 species
UGGCUCAGAACGAACGCUGGCGGCGCGUUUAAGCAUGCAAGUCGAGCGGCAAGGGCCUUCGGGCCCCUAGAGCGGCGGACGGGUGAGUAACACGUGGACAAUCUGCCCCCCGGCCCGGGAUAGCCCAGGGAAACCUGGAUUAAUACCGGAUGAGACGGGACCCGCGAUGGCGGGACCCGGGAAAGGCGCUGCGGCGCCGCCGGGGGAUGAGUCUGCGUCCCAUUAGCUAGACGGCGGGGUAACGGCCCACCGUGGCGACGAUGGGUAGCCGGCCUGAGAGGGUGGACGGCCACAUUGGAACUGAGACACGGUCCAGACUCCUACGGGAGGCAGCAGCUAAGAAUCUUCCGCAAUGGGCGAAAGCCUGACGGAAGCGACGCCGCGUGAACGAAGAAGGCCGUGAGGUUGUAAAGUUCUUUUCGGGAGGGGGAACAACCGUGGCAGGGAAUGGCCGCGGGAUGACGUGAAUCCCGGAAUAAGCCCCGGCUAACUACGUGCCAGCCGCCGC